CCUACGGGAGGCAGCAGUGAGGAAUAUUGGUCAAUGGACGAGAGUCUGAACCAGCCAAGUAGCGUGAAGGAUGACUGCCCUAUGGGUUGUAAACUUCUUUUAUAUGGGAAUAAAACACGGUACGUGUGUCCUCUUGUAUGUACCAUUUGAAUAAGGAUCGGCCAAUUCCGUGCCAGCAGCCGCGGUAAUACGGAGGUACUGAGCGUUAUCCGGAUUUAUUGGGUUUAACGGGAGCGUAGGUGGAUGGUUAAGUCAGGUGUGAAAGGUUGCGGCUCAACCGUAAAAUUGCAGUUGAAACUGGCAGUCUUGAGUACAGUAGAGGUGAGCGGAAUUCGUGGUGUAGCGGUGAAAUGCGUAGAUAUCACGAAGAACACCGAUUGCGAAGGCAGCCUACUGGACUGCAACUGACAUUGAGGCUCGAAAGUGUGGGUAUCAAACAGGAUUAGAUACCCCGGUAGUC
rnacentral:rRNA from 1 species